rnacentral:rRNA from 1 species
GACAGAGGGUGCAAACGUUGUUCGGAAUUACUGGGCGUAAAGCGCGUGUAGGCUGCUUCGCAAGUCGGAUGUGAAAGCCCUGGGCUCAACCCAGGAAGUGCAUUCGAAAACUGCAGAGCUGGAGUCCUGGAGAGGAAGGCGGAAUUCUCGGUGUAGAGGUGAAAUUCGUAGAUAUCGAGAGGAACACCGGUGGCGAAGGCGGCCUUCUGGACAGUGACUGACGCUGAGACGCGGAAAGCGUGGGGAGCAAACAGG